rnacentral:sRNA from 1 species
GGCAGUGUUUUGACGACUGCCUCACUAAAGGAAGCUAAAAGCUGUGCUGAUGCCUCCCAGACGAGCCUCGUUGGAAGCACAGAACCUUCACGGCUCGGAGCCGCUGACACCGUGACAAAGGGAGCCCUGCUCAGGAGAAAGAGCAAAUGAGAGGCAGUUGCACUUUUUCAGGUGUCAGGCUGGAGGAAGCCACUUGAAGAUGAAUCUACCUCUGCCUUAGGAUUGCCUGAUGGCCUGUGCCAUUCCAUGUUAUAUCUACUGAUUUGCUCCCUGUAUUCAAAGAUUUUUUUUUUUUUUACUUAAUUCUCUCUUACUGACCCUGAGAGUGACCAUAUUUUUAACCAAUUUGGUCUUCAGCCUCAAAACUUAGCUCUUUCCUUUUGUGGUCCCCGAAUCCUAUCACGUGUCAUGGUGGCUGUGAAGAUGUUUGCCAAGCCUGCUGAGAAGGCUCAUCUGUGGCAUCCAAAAGCAGAGAUUUCAACUCUGGACCCCUGUGACCUGCCUUUGUAAUUAUGGAUACCCAGCACUGUUUUGAAAUAUCAGUGGACAUCCAGUUUUUAAAAGCCCUCAGAGCUUUGGGAGACACCCCUUUAUCUCUCUGGCAUGUCAGAGAACCGAUUCAACCCUUCUCAUCUCCUCCUCCUUCCCUCUCUUGGGCCAUCAGGAUGCGGCAGCAACUCACUGUGCAUGUUUUUACAGCUCUUCUCCAGUAAUGCUGCCAUUUCCACUGCAGACCACAGGAUAAAAGGACCGCUUCACCGUGGCCCAGGAUACCCUUUUAAGUAGGAGGGAGAAGAAAGUACUGCUUUGAUCUAAAAUUAAGCAAACGUUCUUCAAUAAACCCACCAUGAGACUUGACCACUAAUGGUGACCAGCAGUGGCUUUGUCAUGGCCCUGCCCACUGGGGGCAGGCACAUGCUGGGGCCAGGGCAGGCUGCCAGCUGGUGAGCACGAAUAGGUGGCUGGUGGAGCGCAUGCAGUGGGAAGGGCAGAUGGCUCCAUUUUGAUUUGUUAGCAGGCCACUUCCUCGGAAGGGGCUUUCCCUUCAGUGGGGUCUGCACCGCCAGCCUCAGCUGUCUUGGAGCAGAUGUGUAUAGUUAGAGAUGGGGACCUUUUCACUGUAAAUACUGCUCACAUGUUCCUAGGCUGACUUUACUAUGUGCAGAGCCUCUUCUCAAAUAUCCAAAUCCCCUCUGUUGGGUACUACAGAACAGAUGUUACCCUGCCUCCUAUUACAUUAAUUUACGAACUUUACAUAUGCUGAGUUACGGACCCUAAGCUGUUGCAUGUGCUUGGCUCUUAUGUUCCAAAAAGUACAUUUGUAUGGUUUUGUGGAAACUGUGCUGUUCUGCUUUUGCAGUCUGUGAGAUUCUGAUUUUUUUUUUCUCAUCAGCAAUUAUCCUUGUCUUGGAACAUCAGAGCUUGAAGAAAGGGAUUCUAGCAGCCCACCUCUCUCCUUCCUAAUCCAGAUGGUUAGAGGCUUAGAGAGAGGUGGUGGUUGCUCUGAGUUUACCAGAUUCAGUGACAAACCCCUUCUAAUUUCUAAUCAAUCUGGCAGCCUUCAUUUACCAAAAGUUGACUUUUGAUAGUAUAACUUUUAUACACCGUGAGACAACUUAUUUUAAAAAACAGUUUAGAAAUAUUUAAUUUUUUUUGAAAGACUUUUUAAGGUCAGGCACCAUGGGUCAUGCCUAUCAUCUCAACGCUUUGAGGACUGAAGUGGGAGGAUCAUUUGAGGCCAAGAUUUCAAGAUCAGCUUGGGCAACAUAGUGAGACUCUGUCUCUAAAAAAUUAAAAAAAAAAA